rnacentral:rRNA from 1 species
AUUGAACGCUGGCGGCAUGCUUUACACAUGCCAGUCGAACGGUAACAGGCCUUCGGGUGCUGACGAGUGGCGAACGGGUGAGUAAUGCAUCGGAACGUACCCAGAGGUGGGGGAUAACGCAGCGAAAGCUGUGCUAAUACCGCAUGUGAUCUGAGGAUGAAAGCGGGGGACCGAGCAGCAAUGUUUGGCCUCGCGCCUUUGGAGCGGCCGAUGUCGGAUUAGCUAGUUGGUGGGGUAAAGGCCUACCAAGGCGACGAUCCGUAGCUGGUCUGAGAGGACGACCAGCCACACUGGGACUGAGACACGGCCCAGACUCCUACGGGAGGCAGCAAUGGGGAAUUUUGGACAAUGGGCGCAAGCCUGAUCCAGCAAUGCCGCGUGCGGGAAGAAGGCCUUCGGGUUGUAAACCGCUUUUGGCAGGAACGAAACGGUGUCCGCUAAUACCGGGCGCUAAUGACGGUACCUGCAGAAUAAGCACCGGCUAACUACGUG